AGGACAGGGGGUACGAAGGGCAGACAACUCCUAUGGAGAGUUGGCUUCAAAGACGUCAUCAGGAUGCGUCAGAGCGAUGGUCCGAGCCCCCAAAGAGAGGGGGGGCGAGUGGACCGUCAAGGGAUUGUGGGUAUGCAUAUCUAAUAUGCAGGACAAAAGGGACUUUGGGGGUGCGCUCAGAGAAGGGGAUGCAUGGGAAAAACGGGACAAU